CUUUAUUCUGUAUGUACAAUUUUAUUUUGUAAUUUGUAAUUUACACAAUAUGUUAAGUACAUUUGUAUUUAAACGUAAUUUAUUGUAUGAGUAUUGAUUUUUUAAGCGCAUCUAUUAUCAUAAUUAAUUCCAACGAAUAGAACAGGAAAUGUAGCAGUAAAAUUUACGCGUGUAUGUUAAUACUGCGCUUUGCUAUAAAAUACCAUCAAGUCCGCACACGAACAACUUUCUGUUUGUGUAACCGAAGCGAGCCACGAUUAAGCCUGAUAUAUUGCUAUUUAUAUAUCAGCAAAGUCUAAUCUAAUAGCGUGCAAAUAUAUCUUAAGACAAUUCAGUGCAUAAACCAACAACGUUAUCGGCUAAACAUGAUAGAAUUCCGUGUACAUACAAUCUUCUGAGCGAAGAAAAGCAAGCAUUAUUUCAGGAUUAUUAACGACUUUAAGCCGCCAUCAGAAUAUUCUGCGUUUUUCUUGCAAUCUACGACAUGUAGGAUGAUUUACAAUCGCAUAUUGAAAUCUCGAGAAUUGCCUUAAUUACUUUAAAUUCGUUCUAAACAAUCACGUGAGUAUCGAAUGAAUUAUCAUAACUUAAGAGAUAUCGAAUAAUAUGUUCUUAUCGUUCAAUACUACCGUAUUAAGUCAUAAAACGGAACUGAACGAUCAGAUGACUAAACGUCACUGCGAUAUUUUCUUCAAUUCGUUAAAACUCGAGAGGCAAACGCCUGAAGUAUUGACACGCAAUUAAGAUUCGUUCGGCAUAAAACGGACAAGGCUUGAUUUAUUACAAAAUGCAAGAAACGAGGAAAAAAUAUAUAGUCGGAUUAAAAUUGGUCGAUCAACACGUUCCGGAACCCGUUCAUUACUUAUUUCAGACGUCUAACGAGAUCUUAUUGAUCGUAAAGUUAGGACAGUUAAUUGUCAUUCACUUUGCUUGAACUUUAAAUGAAGCUUCAGCCGAGGUUCCCAUUGUUUUCAAGCAUGAAGCUCGAGUAUCACUGUCGGUUAUCGCGAACCUGGCAUCGAGAUAAGUUUCCCUGUUGCAAAGGAAUGGGGACUGACGCAUAAGCGUGGGGAGAGCGAAACUCAAUAAUUAUGCCAUAGCUAGAGAACGAAUUAUCUAGCUGUGUUUUCUUGACGUGCAGUUCCAUUAGAAGAGGCGAACGGCUCGUUAAGAAAGUUUUCAUUUCCACGACGUGCACUCAAGACUGCAUUCGAUUGUCUGUCCUCGUGUUCGUUCUACUGAAUGAACUUUAAACAGCUUAUUCCCACCUCCAACUUUGUUUCUGAAAUCAUCCACGUCACUGCAAAUAUUGACUAUCGCGUUAUUCACUUUCCUAAAACCAGUUCCUAAUUUGUCGAUGUUUAAACUGGUAACUUUGAAAACGAGAUUUGUCUUCGAUUUCUACACCAAGAUAUUCCAUAUUUCUAUGGAGACACUCUUCGAUAAUAAUAACGUCUGUAAUACGAUCCAGACGUUACGGCGUUGGUCGCUACUUCUACUUUCUAUCGAAUUAGGUGCAUGAAUACAAUCAAACAAUUAAACACCAAUUACUUGUCAACGUAAGUGUAUACUACGUCUAAGACGUUACGUGAACCUUAACCCUGUUCCAAAUGAUAAAACUGUAUCUUAUCAUCUCUUCAAUAGUAGUGAAAUAUAGAGUUUAUAUCAAUAAAAAUUUGUACGAUUUAAGCUACAAAUCUAAUGUUUAAAUAGCGAAACCUAAUUUUCAAUUGAUGUAACACUUGCCUUAAAAGGAUAUAAUAUUUUUAUCAAUUCCAAAAAGGUAUGUAAUGAAUCUUUUUCAUCUCAUUAGCCCUAAUUUGAAUUCAUUACUCCAUAUCGGAAUAUCUAAAAAUCGCUCGAUUCUGCCAUAAGCAUAAAUAAAGCCUGAUCAAAUCGGAUAGAAGAGAGGUGUUUUAUCGUUAGCCUGAGUCAUCUCAGAUCACCUAUAGAACAGAUUAAUUAACUAAGGACGUGGAAGGUAUUAUGAAACGAACUAUAGGAAAUUUAUGUGCACUACACUACCGACUGACCUCCGCAUCGAUUAUGAUGUGCGACAGAACGGCGUGGAGGAACGUAUGUUAAAACGAGAAAAGGAAUGCAGCGUUCGAAGGAGGGGAUCGUGAAUUCACAGUUGUGCUCGAUCAGAAACGAAACGCGCAUGCGUGUUGUUUCGUAAAGUUGUCUGUUACGUUGGAGCAACUCCAGAGAAUCAGAAAAUUUUGUGUAACCGUAUUCUCGUCGACGUCGAUCAUCGUCUUCUCAGCGAUACUCCCUUACCGACAGUUUCAAACGAUCAUCGGAAAAAACGACAAAGUGUUUACGUGAACCGUAACAGAAAUCGACUUCUAGUUCGUUUACACUCGAGACUGUUUACAGUCGUAUAUAACAAAAAUAUAGCCACCAAGUCCAUGUAAUCUACGAACAGAAUCCGAGUAACAACCUAAUUUAAGUCGUUUAAGACCAGGUGGUUCGGUAUGUCGUUGGAAAGAAAGAUAGGUAAGAAUGUGGAAUCCAAUCAAUCAUUAUCGUUAAUCCAUCGUCUACGUUCGAGAAGGAGAUCGGUUGUUUGCAGGCCUGGCGUGGCUUAAGGAUUGCACUAAGGGCUGAGGAUGUGCGGUCUGAGUCUUAGAGCAAUGGAGGGUGCGGCUGCCUGUAGCAUGAUCCUCCCUAAGCCGAGGCUAAGAGGCUAUUAGUUAGCUCUGCGAGCAGCGACGUAACCCCAAAGACUAACACGGUACUUACACCUUCCUGCUUCGUAGAGAUCGCAAGAUAUUCAACCAACUAGUUCCCAUAGUAUGUUUGCACAUGGAAGGUGAAACUGGCGAUAUUCGGAGAAUAGCGUCGCCGCGCAAGAUCAACGAUAAGAAAUUAAUAUUAUAACAAACUUCACGAGCAUCGGUUCCAGUGUUCGCCGCCAAGCAAUUAGAGAUACAAUCAACUGUUCCCGGAUUACAUGUAAAUGAAGUCUCAACGGAAGUACUUGGUCGGAUUAGAUAAAUUAAUUCCAAGAGAAAGCAAAAAAAAAAAAAAAAAAGAAAGAAAA